rnacentral:rRNA from 8 species
UAAAUCAGUUAUCGUUUAUUUGAUAGUACCUUACUACUUGGAUAACCGUGGUAAUUCUAGAGCUAAUACAUGCUGAAAACCCUGACUUCGGAAAGGGUGUAUUUAUUAGAUAAAAAACCAAUGCCCUUUGGGCUCUUUGGUGAUUCAUGAUAACUUAACGGAUCGCAUGGCCUUGCGCCGGCGACGGUUCAUUCAAAUUUCUGCCCUAUCAACUUUCGAUGGUAAGGUAUUGGCUUACCAUGGUUUCAACGGGUAACGGGGAAUUAGGGUUCGAUUCCGGAGAGGGAGCCUGAGAAACGGCUACCACAUCCAAGGAAGGCAGCAGGCGCGCAAAUUACCCAAUCCCGACACGGGGAGGUAGUGACAAUAAAUACUGAUACAGGGCUCUUUUGGGUCUUGUAAUCGGAAUGAGUACAAUUUAAACCUCUUAACGAGGAACAAUUGGAGGGCAAGUCUGGUGCCAGCAGCCGCGGUAAUUCCAGCUCCAAUAGCGUAUAUUAAAGUUGUUGCAGUUAAAAAGCUCGUAGUUGAAUCUUGGGCCUGGCUGGCCGGUCCGCCUCACCGCGUGUACUGGUCUGGCCGGGCCUUUCCUUCUGGAGAACCUCAUGCCCUUCAGUGGGUGUGUUGGGGAACCAGGACUUUUACUUUGAAAAAAUUAGAGUGUUCAAAGCAGGCCUUUGCUCGAAUACGUUAGCAUGGAAUAAUAGAAUAGGACGUGCGGUCCUAUUUUGUUGGUUUCUAGGACCGCCGUAAUGAUUAAUAGGGAUAGUCGGGGGCAUCAGUAUUCAAUUGUCAGAGGUGAAAUUCUUGGAUUUAUUGAAGACUAACUACUGCGAAAGCAUUUGCCAAGGAUGUUUUCAUUAAUCAGUGAACGAAAGUUAGGGGAUCGAAGACGAUCAGAUACCGUCGUAGUCUUAACCGUAAACUAUGCCGACUAGGGAUCGGGCGAUGUUUCUAUCUUGACUCGCUCGGCAC